UACGUAGGGGGCAAGCGUUGUCCGGAUUUAUUGGGCGUAAAGCGCGCGCAGGCGGCUUACUAAGUCUGGUGUGAAAGCCCACGGCUCAACCGUGGAGGGCCAUUGGAAACUGGUAAGCUUGAGUGCAGAAGAGGAGAGCGGAAUUCCUGGUGUAGCGGUGAAAUGCGUAGAUAUCAGGAGGAACACCCGUGGCGAAGGCGGCUCUCUGGUCUGUAACUGACGCUGAGGCGCGAAAGCGUGGGGAGCAAACAGG
rnacentral:rRNA from 1 species